rnacentral:rRNA from 1 species
AACGUAGGAGACAAACGUUAUCCGGAGUUACUGGGCGUAAAGGGCGUGUAGGUGGUUUCGUAAGUCUGGCGUGAAAUAUCUCGGCUUAACCGAGGCAGGUCGUCGGAUACUGCGGGACUAGAGGACGGUAGAGGCGUGUGGAAUUCCGGGUGUAGUGGUGAAAUGCGUAGAUAUUGGAAAGACCACCGAUGGCGAAGGCACUCUACUGGGCCAUUACUGACACUGAGGAGCGAAAGCGUGGGGGAGCAAACGGG